AAACUGCGAUAAGUAGUGUGAAUUGCAUUUAGUGAAUCAUCGAAUCUUUGAACGCACCCUGCACUCACUGGUAUUCCGGUGAGUACGCCUGUUUCAGUAUCAUUGAAAACACACAAUCAAAACAUUUUCUUUGGUUUGAUUGGCUUUGGGUCUAUCAAAAAGUUUGGCUUGUUUCUUACAAGCCAAGCGGCCUGAAAUAUAUUGUCUGGCUAAUUGCAUCGUUGAUGAUCGCUAUUAGACUUUGGCUUUUUUAAAUGAACUGGAGGUUGAUUAACCAGUUUUAGCUUCAGUCAAAUGGUCAUUGUAAAAAAAAUCUCGAUCUUGGCUAGGUGUUUAUAGCCGAAAAUUUUUUUUUGGCUAUAACCGAAACCAAUAUAAUCACACUUAGUUAUCGAUCUGAAAUCAGGUGGGACUACCCGCUGAACUUAAGC
rnacentral:misc_RNA from 1 species